rnacentral:lncRNA from 1 species
CAGUUCCUCGACAGCGAUGCCAAAAUGUUGUUCUCAUUGUGUUCUAGCUUCAAUAUACCAAAGUAAUUGAACUAAUAGAGGUGGGUUCGAAUAUGGGAAAAGAUUGAUUAUAUGAAUUGGAUCUGUUAGUGUCACAAUUGACUGCACUCGAGCUAUGUGAAACCAAUUACCAAACUACAAAAUACCAAGGCUUACUACUUCCAUCUUAAUUCAAUACCUAAUCUAUUCUAUAACUAUCAAUUCAACAAUACUUCCAUAUUCUUAUCUGUUCAUCUCCCACUUACUCUCUUUGUGAUUUAUAUAUAUUCAAUUAUUGAUCUGCAGCUUACCUAUUGUAUUCAGUUUCUCAAUUUAUCAUACAAAAUUUAACA